GCCAGGGCCAGGGGGCGGUGGCGGCCACGGUCCGGCCGGGUGCCAGCUGUUCCCGACCCCCGCCUCGGGCCCGCCGCCGGCGCCGCCAUGGGCAAGAAGCACAAGAAGCACAAGGCCGAGUGGCGCUCGUCCUACGAGGAUUAUGCCGACAAGCCCCUGGAGAAGCCUCUAAAGCUAGUCCUGAAGGUCGGAGGAAGUGAAGUGACUGAACUCUCAGGAUCCGGCCACGACUCCAGUUACUAUGAUGACAGGUCAGACCAUGAGCGAGAGAGGCACAAAGAAAAGAAAAAGAAGAAGAAGAAGAAGUCCGAGAAGGAGAAGCAUCUGGACGAUGAGGAAAGAAGGAAGCGAAAGGAAGAGAAGAAGCGGAAGCGAGAGAGGGAGCACUGUGACACGGAGGGAGAGGCUGACGACUUUGAUCCUGGGAAGAAGGUGGAGGUGGAGCCGCCCCCAGAUCGGCCAGUCCGAGCGUGCCGGACACAGCCAGGCAAGGGUGCACUUUUAGAGACUCUCCUGGUGUUCACAGCUCAUCGUUGUAAAUGAGGGGUCGGCACCGUGUCCUGUUGCUUUGGGGAGAAGCAUGGGAGGGAGGAGAGCUGGUAUUUCCAGGGCUUCAUCCCAGGUGUCCUCUGGCCUGAGGUUUCCUCCGGUGUCUCUGAAUGUCUAGAGCAAGGCGUGGCCA
rnacentral:lncRNA from 1 species